UACGGGGGGGGCAAGCGUUGUUCGGAAUUACUGGGCGUAAAGGGUUCGUAGGUGGCUCGCUAAGUCAGACGUGAAAUCCCUCAGCUUAACUGGGGAACUGCGUCUGAGACUGAUGAGCUCGAGUGCAGGAGAGGAACGCGGAAUUCCAGGUGUAGCGGUGAAAUGUGUAGAGAUCGGGAGGAACACCGGUGGCGAAGGCGGGUCUCUGGGCAUCUCCUGACGCUGAGGCGCGAAAGCGUGGGGAGCAAACGGG
rnacentral:rRNA from 1 species